rnacentral:rRNA from 1 species
UACGAGGGGGGCGAGCGUUGUUCGGAAUUACUGGGUGUAAAGGGUUCGUAGGCGGUGCGGCAAGUCGGGAGUGAAAUCUCUGGGCUUAACCCAGAGGCUGCUUCCGAAACUGCUGUGCUUGAGUGUGGGAGAGGCGCGUGGAAUUGCAGGUGUAGCGGUGAAAUGCGUAGAUAUCUGCAGGAACACCCGUGGCGAAAGCGGCGCGCUGGACCACUACUGACGCUGAGGAACGAAAGCUAGGGGAGCAAACAGG